AGAGUUUGAUCCUGGCUCAGGAUGAAUGCUGGCGGCGUGCCUAACACAUGCAAGUCGAGCGGCAGCGAGUUUUACACUGAAUUCUGGAAACUUCUGGGUAAUACAGAAGAUCUAUUCAAGAAUUUUGUGUAAAAUGUCGGCGAGCGGCGGACGGCUGAGUAACGCGUAGGAAUUUGCCCCAAAGUGAGGAAUAACUGCCCGAAAGGGUAGCUAAUGCCGCAUAUGGUCUUCGGAUUAAAGCCUUCGGGCGCUUUGGGAGAAGCCUGCGUUGGAUUAGGUAGUUGGUAGGGUAAUGGCCUACCAAGCCGACGAUCCAUAGCUGGUCUGAGAGGAUGAUCAGCCAGACUGGAACUGAGACACGGUCCAGACUCCUACGGGAGGCAGCAGUGAGGAAUCUUCCACAAUGGGCGAAAGCCUGAUGGAGCAACGCCGCGUGAAGGAUGAAGGCCUUCGGGUUGUAAACUUCUUUUAUGAGUGAAGAAUAUGACGGUAACUCAUGAAUAAGCACCGGCUAACUACGUGCCAGCAGCCGCGGUCAUACGUAGGGUGCAAGCAUUAUCCGGAGUGACUGGGCGUAAAGAGUUGCGUAGGCGGUUUAAUAAGUGAAUAGUGAAACCUGGUGGCUCAACCAUACAGACUAUUAUUCAAACUGUUAAACUCGAGAAUGGUAGAGGUAACUGGAAUUUCUAGUGUAGGAGUGAAAUCCGUAGAUAUUAGAAGGAACACCGAUGGCGUAGGCAGGUUACUGGGCCAUUUCUGACGCUAAGGCACGAAAGCGUGGGGAGCGAACCGGAUUAGAUACCCGGGUAGUCCACGCCGUAAACGAUGGAUACUAGCUGUUGGAGGUAUCGACCCCUUCAGUAGCGAAGCUAACGCGUUAAGUAUCCCGCCUGUGGAGUACGGCCGCAAGGCUAAAACAUAAAGGAAUUGACGGGGACCCGCACAAGCGGUGGAUUAUGUUCUUUAAUUCGAUGAUAACCGAAGAACCUUACCAGGGCUUGACAUCCAGGGAAGGUCUGCGAAAGUAGACUGUGCCUUUUGGAACCCUGUGACAGGUGAUGCAUGGCCGUCGUCAGCUCGUGUCGUGAGAUGUUAGGUUAAGUCCUUCAACGAGCGCAACCCUUGUGAAUAGUUGUAUUUUUCUAUUCAGACUGCCCCGGUAACGGGGAGGAAGGAGGGGAUGAUGUCAGGUCAGUAUUUCCCUUACG
rnacentral:rRNA from 1 species